CCGUGAAUGACUGAAUGAUCAUCUUUCAUUUUUUUAUGCUUUUCGUCUCUCAGAUCCUGUAUUUGACGCUCAUAUGACCUUACGCAGUGCGAGCGCAGUAAAUCCUUACUAAAACUAAAACUAAAACUACAAAGAUCUUGAAAAUUACUCUUUGCUAUUUUUAAAGGGGAAUGAUACAGUGGUGGGGGACUGUUUGUUAAGUUUUCCUUGUCUCUGGACUUUAGGAGACUCUCCCACUCUUCGUUAGAGCUCAGUUUGUAAAGAAUUUCUCCUCAUGUAUAUCAGAGGCUUCCUAUAGUGUAGGAGAGGAACGACAAAAAUACUGGAAGAAAGGAAAAAAUUGCAAAAGAAACAAAAAGUAUUGGGAUGUACAUAAAAUUAGGUCACUUUCAACAUAUUAAAAAUGUACAUUCACGCAUUAAUGGGAAAUGCUAUUUUUAGCUCAUGACGUCACCGGGGUCAACUUUAUAAAAAUAUCUUUUAGAACAUGGUCAUGUUGCACCUCGUUUGAAAGCUCGACAAAAAUGCUGUUUAAAUAUGUGGUAUUUAAAAAGCUUGGAGGCCAAAUAGGAACACAACACACCAAAUGGAAUUUCACAACAGUAGAUCGUGCACGUUCAUCAUGUCCGGUAUUUCAAGAGAAUUCAGCCCGCCAGGAAACUCCAGGAGACUGAUAUCAUCUUCCUCAGUAAGUGAUGAGCAAUUUGUACAGGUCAAACCCAUGCAACCUCCACAGGAAACAGAGCAUUCCAGUCUGUGGCGACGACACGUACACUUUGUGGACUUACAAUAUGUUCUACAGCUGCACUUAAUCACCUUCAACAGAGAAUGUGGGGCAGGUGACAUAUCUGUCUUGCAUGGCUGUAAGUGAUCAUCGUGCAGCUGCCAUCCCCAUUGUGUCUUGAAUAUUACCUGCACUUGAAGAUACACCUGAAGACUGUAGUACUUGGCUGCAGUACUGGUUGGCGGCAAGCAUUGGAUUUGAACGGAUGUGGCACAUGAUGCAACCCUUACAUAGAACCUCUUGUAACGCAAAACUGUUGGCCAAGGGUGUCUGCAGCAGUGCCAUUGUAGAGACUGACUAAAGCUCUUUCUCCAGCAUCAUUGAUGUCUUCCUGAGUCUUUUCUGCUGUUCAAAAAAAUAUGAGCGCGCUUUCGAAAAUGAGCAUCUGUCAAUUUUCUCAUUGGAACCAUUUUUCCCAGCCCAAAAAGUCUCGAACAUGUCUUGCAAGGAUUGUAAAUGUAACCACCAGUCACCUGAACCUUCGGCUUAUAAGGAAGCGUUUCAAGAUGUCAAUCAUAUCUAUGUACUGAAGCCAGAGACGAAAAAUUAAACAGAAAAAAAACUAUAAAAAAAAGAACAAAAAAAUAAUAAUUUUAAAACCA